AUGGACUGGUCCCCUCUCCUCCUCAUACUCCUCACUCACUGUACAGGGUCCUGGGCCAAGUCUGUGCUGACUCAACCUCCAUCAGUGGCAGGGGCCCCAAGAUAGAGGGUCACUAUCUCCUGCACUGGAAGUGCCACCAGCACUGGGGGUGGUUUUCAUGUUAAUGAGUACUAGCAGCUCCCAGGAAUGGCUCCAUAGCUCCUCAUUUGUGAAAACAGCCAUUGGCCUUCAGGGUUCUGUCCUGGUUCACAGGCUUCGCUGAGCAUUUCUGGGCUCCAGUCUGGGGAUAAGGCUGACUAUUUUUCUUUAUCUUGGCACACAAGCAUUAAUGCUCACACAGAACUGUAGGCCACCGGGGAAGGAAGACAAAGAUAU
rnacentral:lncRNA from 1 species